rnacentral:sRNA from 1 species
GUGGGAGGCUCUACUCCGCAUGCCAAGUAAUUGACGUGAUCAGCAUACCAUGGAGAUUCUCCUUCAACAGCAUUCAGUUGGUGGAACUCUUUCCCACUGUAGCUUUUUCCGAAGAACUCUACAACCAUGAGCUGUUCUUCUGGCAUUGAAUCGUCUAUCAGAAGUGGUUCUUCAAUUCUCAUCCUCGACAGAUGGUCCGCUGCGCCAUUUUCAAUGCCUUUCUUAUCUACUAUCUCCAUGUCAAACUCUUGCAAUAAAAGUAUCCAUCUUAACAGUCUUGGUUUAGUAUCCUUCUUGGCAUACAGAUGCCUCAAAGCUGCAUGGUCUGUAUAGACAGUUACCUUUGAUCCAACCAAAUAGCUUCUGAACUUCUCAAAUGCGAAUACAACAACUAGAAGCUCCUUCUCAGUUGUUGCAUAUCUUCCCUGAGCGUCAUCCAACGUUCGGCUGGCGUAAUAUAUGACAUGAAGCUUCUUGUCUAUUUUCUGGCCUAAAACAGCUCCUACUGCGUAAUCUGAUGCAUCACACAUGAUUUCAAAUGGAUAGUCCCAAUUAGGCGCUCGAACAACCGGAGCAGAUACCAAAGCGUCCUUGAUGGUUUGAAAGGAUUUGAGGCAGUCAUCAUCGAAUUUAAAUUCGGUUUCCUUGCACAAUAGUCUGGUUAACGGUCUGGCUAUCUUGGAGAAGUCUUUAAUGAAUCUUCUAUAGAAUCCAGCAUGACCAAGGAAGCUUCUGAUGUCCUUCACCGUUUUAGGUGGCUGCAGCUGCAUCAUCACUUCAACUUUUCCUUUGUCAACCUCUAUACCCUUCUCUGAUAUCUUGUGACCCAAUACUAUGCCUUCCUUCACCAUGAAAUGACACUUUUCCCAAUUGAGAACAAGAUUCGUCUCUUCGCACCUGGUCAAUACCCUGCCAAGAUUCAACAAACAUGAGGAGAAAGAGGGGCCAUAGACCGAAAAAUCGUCCAUGAAAACCUCCACCAUCUCCUCGAUUAAGUCUGAAAAUAUAGAGGUCAUACACCUCUGAAAUGUUGCAGGAGCAUUGCAUAAACCAAAUGGCAUUCUUUUAUAGGCAAAAGUUCCAUAAGGACACGUGAAAGUGGUUUUUUCUUGAUCAUUAGGGUGAAUUGGUAUUUGAAAGAAACCAUUGUAUCCAUCAAGAAAGCAAUAAUAUGGAUGAUUAGCCAAACGUUCAAGCAUUUGGUCAAUGAAUGGUAAAGGAAAAUGAUCUUUCCUAGAUGCAGCAUUCAACUUCCUAUAAUCUAUGCACAUUCUAUGACCAGUUAUAGUUCUAGUAGGGAUCAGUUCAUCUUUUUCAUUUUUGACAACAGUCAUUCCAUCCUUUUUAGGGACGCAAUGCACUGGAGAAACGUACUAUCAGAGAUAGGGUAGAUGACACCAGCAUCAAGCAGUUUCAAAAUUUCUUUUUUCACUACUUCUUUCAAAUUGGGAUUUAACCUCCUCUGUGGUUCAAUGCUGGAAUAGGAUUCGUUUUCAAGAUGGAUCCUAUGGUUACAUAAACUAGGUGAAAUUCCCUUAAUGUCGGAUAACGAAUAACCAAUUGCUCUCCUAUACUUUUUAAGCUCAGAUAAUAACAGGUUCACUUCAUCACUAUUUAACUCAGCAUUAAUGAUCACAGGGUAAGUAGAGUUUGGACCAAGGAACGCGUACCUUAGACCUUUUGGAAGUGGUUUGAGAUCAACCUUAGGUGCCUUAAGUUCAGACCAGUCAUCUGAAGUUGGAAUGAUCGGCUCCCUAGGUUCGUCGGUAGACAAGGUCGAGUGGUUGCUUGAGUACGUCCUCGAGAGUGCAGGUUGAACUCGAGUUGACCCUUCUUCGCUCAUUACCAUUACCUCUGUUGCUGGUCCAUUCAAUUCCUCAAAGGGUUCUGAUUCUUCCAUCGCUUUAUGGGAGUCUAACAACUUCUGGUAUCCCAAUGUUUCCAAAUGCAGAAACCCAUCUUCACCACUUUUGGUUAAAGCACUGUUAAGAUGAUCUUCUUCUGCCAGCUCUUCCAGUAACUCAUCAGCUAACUGAUCCAUUUCUUCGAUCCAAAAGAGUUGCCCUUCUAUGGUAGGCUUCUUCAUCGCGUCUUUGACAUCAAAGGUCAUCCUAAAGUCUUUGCCAAGGUUCAGAUCAAUCUUCCCUUUCUUGACAUCAAUCAUAGCUCCUGCAGUGGCUAAGAAAGGUCUCCCUAGAAUCAACGGGUCCUUGGGCUCUUCAUCCAUCUCCAGGACUACAAAGUCAGUUGGUAUCUCCACAGCACCGAUCCUGAUUGGGAGGUUUUCGAGCAAACCAUGAGGAAUCCUUACUGAUCUGUCAGCUAGGAUGAGGGAUAUAUUGCAGGACUUGUAUUGAGUGAAUCCCAAUCUUUUGGCGACAGAUAGCGGCAUGAGACUGACUGAUGCUCCUAAAUCGCAUAGGCAUCUGUUGAAAGCCAAUGGACCUAAAGAGCACGGUAGAGUGAACGAACCAGGAUCACUAAGCUUCUUAGGAAUGAUCUUCUUCUGUAUGAUAGCGCUGCAUUCAUGACUCAAUACCACCAUCCCUUGCACUUCUUGAAUUCUCUCCACAAUCAAGUCUUUCAGAAACUUGUGAGAGUCUGGGAUUAGCGCUAGAGCGUCAACAAGAGGUAUCCGCAACUCAACCUCCUUAAUGUUCUUGGCAAACAUAGCUCUAUAUUUGUCUGCCAACGCUUUCUUGUGACGGCCAGGAAAUGGAAGCUGCGAUUUGUAGGGAGGAGGGACAAAGACCUUUUCCUUGUUUUUUACAGCAACUGGUUUUGGAGCAGUUGGUGAUGCUGCUGGGAUGACAGGUCGAGUGGUAGGUCGAGUAAAGCUGUCGAGUGGCGGAUCGAGUGAUUGCUGGAGUGACAGGUCGAGUGGUUGCUCGAGUGACAGGUCGAGUGGUUUGUCAGCUUGAUCUUUCUCGAGACUUAAAUCCUCCCCAUCUUGAUCUUCACUGUCCUCAGUGACCGUCUUUGGUUCCUCCCUAGUUGGAAGUGCUUUUCCACUACGCAGGGUGAUAGCAUGAGCAUAUUCUUUUGGAUUCUGAACUGCUUUGCCUGGUAGUUGGCUUGUCUGUUUUGUAGCUGAAGAAGAUGUAGAAUGUCCCUCUAAGUAACGGACUUUGGUAUCCAGUGUUUCCAUCUUGACAUUGAGAUCAUUGUAGCUACAGUCCAGCUUGUUAUGUAACUCAGAUAUCUUCUUUGCCAUCUCCAUGGAGCAAGAGGCUUGCCCGUGAAGCAGCUGUUGUAGCAUUUGUUUCAUAUCAGCGUCAGGAGCAGCAGGACCUUGGUGUUGCGGAGGUGCAAACCCAGGUGGUUGUUGCUGGUAGUUCCCCUGGAAUUGCUGCUUAGGAACGAAACCUUGGUUGUAGGGAACAAAAGGUUUGUUCUGACUUUGUUGUUGCUGUGGAGGAUACACCUGAUCCUGAGGGUUAGCAACGUUGGUGCUGCGGUAGGAGAGGUUGGGGUUGUUGGUUUUGAAGUAGUUGUAUCCUUUGUAGCCACCCUGGUUGUUGUUGAUGUAGCUUACUUCUUCCAACUGGUUACCCUCCCCAUCUUGGACUUCAUACUGCUCGUCAUCAACAAGGAAGUGCACAUGCUUAUGCUGGCUAAGAAGAAUCCUGUCCAGCUUGUCAUUCAGCGCUUUGAUCUCCUUCCUGUGUUUGUCAUCAGAGUCAGCUGUUCCUCUGACGGUCCUAUCACAGUCUUCGUUAUAAUUGCCAUCUGAUUGAGCAAGGUUCUCAACCAAUUCCCAGCCUUCUUCAACAUCCUUGUUCUGGAAAUUCCCAUUGCUGGCGGUAUCCAGAAGCAUUCUGAUGCGUGGUAGGACUCCUCUGUAAAGAGUGCUGAGAAGAGAGGCUUUAGUAAAGCCAUGAUGAGGGCAUUGGUUGGUGUAACCUUUGAAACGCUCCCAUGCUUCACAGAAGCUUUCACCAGUCUUCUGUGAGAAACCAGAAAUCUCAUUUCGGAGUCUUGCAGUUCUGGCAUUGGAGAAGAAUUUUGACAAAAAAACCUUCUUACAAUCAUCCCAGGUGGUGAUUGAGUCAUGGGGCAAAUUCUUCUCCCAGAUAUGUGCUUUGUCACCCAAGGAAAAUGGGAACAAACGGAGCUUGAAUCCGUCUUCACUGACACCAUUGAUCUUCGUUAGGUUGCAGAGCCUAUCGAAUUCAUCAAGGUGGUCGAGUGGAUCCUCCAUUGGCAAACCAUGGAAUUUGUUCCCCUGAAUCAUCGAGAUGAGACCACUCUUAAUCUCGAAGUUGUUAUUCUGGAUAGCAGGAGGUGCGAUUCCCUUCCUCUAACGGUGAUCACGUGGUGCAUCUCCAGCACCAAUGUUGGCAUGGCCAUUUUGCUGAUUCUGUUCUUCAGCCAUAACGAGUGGUUGCUGAGGUACAGGGUUGACUGUGGUUCUCCUUUUUCUGAUUUCGCGGGCUGUGCGGUUGAUAUUGUCGUUGAAAAGGAGGUUCUGGUUGCAUGUUGAUCGAGUUCGCAUACAGCAGAGGUGUACCUGGAUCAAAAAGACAACAAGAAAAACACACAGUAAGUAACUGAAAAGAAAAUUGAAAAACAACUUGAUCUAAGCAAGUCUGAAAUCUCAAAUGUAACAAACAAACACCCAAUUGGCAACGGCGCCAAAUUGAUAAUAAGUUUUUAAGUCAAUUGUCCUAAAACACCAAUCAUGUCGUUGUAGUAUUUUAGGUUGUCAAUCCAAAUGGGUGUGAUGCUAACAAUCAAGAUGUGAUCAGAAGUCACUAAGUCAAGCCAAGCAAUAACAGGUUUUGGUGUGUUCUAGCAGUCCUAAGUGAACAUGCAGAAAACAGAAAAUCAAACAGAAACAGUAGAACACUCGACCAACACAGCUCUUUGCAGAGCACUGAGUGAGGUCGAGUGACAAGUCGAGUAACAGACAGAAAAUGAAACAGAGGUACUCGAUUGCACAGUCUGUUGCCAGACCACUGGGUGGUCGAGUACCAGGUCGAGUAACAGUAAGAAUUGCAGAAACUAAGCAACAGGUGACAGGAUGCAGUAAACAGCAGUAGAGUAAACAAUAAAAUCAAUCAGAUAAAGAAUUCCUAAGGAUGGGGUAAUUGAGUAGUUUCGUUUCCUCAGUUUACAGGUGAUUGACAUGCUCAAUAAAUUAACCCUAGACAACGAGUUCAUUAACCAAAUCUAAGUGCCACCGCAACAGAGACUCUCAAGCUAACCUAGUCCCAGACUCAAUCACCAUUGACGAGAGCUAACCUAACAGGCAUUACGAAGCCAAAACGCUCCCUGCAACCAAUACCUUGGUACAGGGUCACGAAUCUCUGGAAUUAGUGGUUCAGACAUUUCAUCGAACACCUUUUGGGCCCGGAAAUGUCUGGGCUCAAAUUCCAGUUGAUCAGAAAGCAAUAGGCAUUAAGAACAACUAAUCCAGAAGGGAUCUAUCAAUCAAUACUCAAUCACCUAGCAUACUGAGAAUUCUACACUACUCUAACCCAUCCUCAGAAACCUAUUCACUACUCAGACAUCAUAACAGAAAGCAUAAACGUUAAACAGGUUGAAGACAUGAUAACAGCAGUGUAACAGCAGUAUGAUAACAGAAUGAACAACAGUAAACGAAAAUCAAGAACAGAAACUGAAUACUGAAUACUGAAUAGAUAAAGAGAAAUCCGGAUUACAAAAAGUCUAGAACAAAAGGGCUGCGGAAAUAAAACUAGAUUAAAAACUUCUUCCUUUCA